rnacentral:rRNA from 1 species
UACGUAGAAGACUAGUGUUAUUCAUCUUUAAGUAGGUUUAAAAGGGUACCUAGACGGUAUAAUUAGUCUUUAACAGGAAACGGUUAUACUAGAGUUAUAUAUGAGGAGGUGAGUAUUUGUGGAGUAGAGUUGAAAUUCUUUGAUACCAUGAAGACUGGUAAAGGCGAAAGCAACCUUUUAUCUAAUAACUGACGUUGAGGGACGAAGGCUCGGGAUCGCG